ACCUACUUGGCUCAGCGGUUAGAGUAUCGCUUUCAUAUGGAGCAAGUCAUUGGUUCAAAUCCAAUAGUAGGUA
rnacentral:tRNA from 1 species